GAUGAACGCUAGCGGCAGGCCCAACACAUGCAAGUCGAGGGGCAGCACAUAAAGUGGUUUACUACUUUUGGUGGCGACCGGCGGACGGGUGCGUAACGCGUAUGCAACCUGCCUCCAACAGGGGGAUAACGGAGAGAAAUUUCCACUAAUACCCCAUACUAUCAGAAUCGGCAUCGGUUUUGGUUGAAAACUUCGGUGGUUGGAGAUGGGCAUGCGUUGUAUUAGAUAGUUGGUGAGGUAACGGCUCACCAAGUCAACGAUACAUAGGGGGACUGAGAGGUUAGCCCCCCACACUGGUACUGAGACACGGACCAGACUCCUACGGGAGGCAGCAGUGAGGAAUAUUGGUCAAUGGGGGCAACCCUGAACCAGCCAUGCCGCGUGCAGGAAGACGGCUCUAUGAGUUGUAAACUGCUUUUACAAGGGGAUAAAUCGGUGUACGUGUACACCGUUGAAGGUACCUUGGGAAUAAGGAUCGGCUAACUCCGUGCCAGCCGCCGCCGUAA
rnacentral:rRNA from 1 species